AAGCGGUACGCGAGCUGGGUUCAGAACGUCGUGAGACAGUUCGGUCCCUAUCCGUCGCGGGCGUAGGAAAUUUGAGAGGACCUGUCCUUAGUACGAGAGGACCGGGAUGGACAUACCUCUGGUGUACCAGUUGUGCCGCCAGGCGCAUCGCUGGGUAGCUACGUAUGGAUGUGAUAAACGCUGAAAGCAUCUAAGUGUGAAACACACCUCGAGAUGAGAUUUCCCAUUCCUUUAUGGAAGUAAGACCCCUGAAAGAUGAUCAGGUAGAUAGGUUAGAAGUGGCAGUGCGGUGACGCAUGAAGCGGACUAAUACUAAUCGGUCGAGGACUUAACCAAG
rnacentral:rRNA from 1 species